UAAGUUCGACUACAAUGCAUUGGUUAGCAUUGCAAUGCUCCGCCAGAUAGAAUUCGUAUCUCAAGAAGAUCCUGUAAAACUGCAGCAAGGAUUUAUUGCUUACGACGAGUGCAAAGAUAUAAAAUAUGACGAUGAGUGCGUGACUGCCCACGAGACUUACAGAUGUGGCCAGGAAAAGGCGCCAACUAUAGUCUCUGACAUAAUCAAAUUAAACUUUGACAAUGGAACAUACCUUUUGCCUCCGACGCCGUGUGUUCCGUUGCGCAACUUUUGUUGGAUGUCGAAUUCUACUCCUUGCGAAUUAAAU